UACAGAGGGUGCGAGCGUUAAUCGGAAUUACUGGGCGUAAAGCGUGCGUAGUCGGUUGUUUAAGUCGGAUGUGAAAUCCCCGGGCUCAACCUGGGAAUUGCAUUCGAUACUGGAUAGCUAGAGUUCGGCAGAGGGAAGCGGAAUUUCCGGUGUAGCGGUGAAAUGCGUAGAUAUCGGAAGGAACAUCAGUGGCGAAAGCGGCUUCCUGGACCAGAACUGACGAUCAGGCACGAAAGCGUGGGGAGCAAACAGG
rnacentral:rRNA from 1 species